GACGAACGCUGGCGGCGUGCCUAAUACAUGCAAGUAGAACGCACAGAAUGCACCGUAGUUUACUACACCGUAUUCUGUGAGUUGCGAACGGGUGAGUAACGCGUAGGUAACCUGCCUGGUAGCGGGGGAUAACUAUUGGAAACGAUAGCUAAUACCGCAUAAGAACAUUUACUGCAUGGUAGAUGUUUAAAAGGUGCAAAUGCAUCACUACCAGAUGGACCUGCGUUGUAUUAGCUAGUAGGUGAGGUAACGGCUCACCUAGGCGACGAUACAUAGCCGACCUGAGAGGGUGAUCGGCCACACUGGGACUGAGACACGGCCCAGACUCCUACGGGAGGCAGCAGUAGGGAAUCUUCGGCAAUGGGGGGAACCCUGACCGAGCAACGCCGCGUGAGUGAAGAAGGUUUUCGGAUCGUAAAGCUCUGUUGUUAAGGAAGAACGAGUGUGAGAAUGGAAAGUUCAUACUG
rnacentral:rRNA from 1 species